rnacentral:rRNA from 1 species
UGGGGAAUAUUGCACAAUGGGCGCAAGCCUGAUGCAGCCAUGCCGCGUGUAUGAAGAAGGCCUUCGGGUUGUAAAGUACUUUCAGUCGGGAGGAAGGUGGUAAGGUUAAUAACCUUAUCAAUUGACGUUACCGACAGAAGAAGCACCGGCUAACUCCGUGCCAGCAGCCGCGGUAAUACGGAGGGUGCAAGCGUUAAUCGGAAUUACUGGGCGUAAAGCGCACGCAGGCGGUUGAUUGAGUCAGAUGUGAAAUCCCCGGGCUUAACCCGGGAGUGGCAGCUGAUAGUGGUCAGCUAGAGUCUUGUAGAGGGGGGUAGAAUUCCAUGUGUAGCGGGGGAAUGCGUAGAGAUGUGGAGGAAUACCGGUGGCGAAGGCGGCCCCCGGGACAAAGAAUGACGCUCAGGUGCGAAAGCGUGGGGAGCAAACAGG